rnacentral:rRNA from 1 species
CCUACGGGUGGCAGCAGUGAGGAAUAUUGGUCAAUGGUCGGGAGACUGAACCAGCCAAGCCGCGUGAGGGAUGAAGGUACAGAGUAUCGUAAACCUCUUUUGUCAGGGAACAAAGGCGGGGACGUGUCCCCGUAUGAGUGUACCUGAAGAACAAGCAUAGGAGAACUCCGUGCCAGCAGCCGCGGUAAUACGGAGGAUGCGAGCGGUAACCGGAUUUAUUUGGUUUAAAGGGGACGCAGGCGGUCUGUUAAGGCAGCGGGUAAAUGCCGGGGCGUAACCCGGGACCGGCAUUUGAAAUUGGCAGUCUAGAGUUGUAGAGAGGGAUGUAGAAUGCGAGGUGUAGCGGUGAAAUGCAUAGAUA